rnacentral:misc_RNA from 1 species
AUCAGCCACUCACAGGCAGUUUACUGGUAGAGUCGGCGCGGCCAACACGUGUCGAAAUCUUACCUGUGUUCGGAAUUGUGUACGAUAAUUACAGCUGACUGUAAUUUUGUUUGUAUAAAACAUUUUGUGCCUUGGAGACAUCACAGUGUAACUUUAUCUCCUCAACCGUUCCUAAGGAAACCUAAUGUUUUUGAUCUCAACCCCAAGAUGGGGUAAUUUAUAAGACAAUAAGUAAUUUAGAAUAUUGUGUUUAGUGAAGUGAAAAAUAUAGUUGAACGAGAGACUGACAAAUCAGCAGCCAUGUAUUCUAUGAACUAUAUUGGCAAGUUCAUUGCGAACUUUCGCGAUUUUUACAAUGAGAUCAAUGGUGCGACGCUGACGGGCGCCAUCGACGUGGUGGUAGUCGAGCAGCCUGAUGGCAGCUUCACGUGCUCGCCCUUCCAUGUCCGCUUUGGGAAGCUCGGCGUACUGCGCUCCAGAUUCAAAGUGGUGGAUCUCGAACUGAAUGGAGAGCCGCUGGACAUUCACAUGAAGCUCGGAGAGUCCGGCGAAGCAUUUUUUGUCGAAGAAGUGGGAGAAGAUGAGGCAGAGUGUUCAGCGCACCUGGCCACCUCGCCCAUCCCGGCUGCCCGCUUCGAAGAUCUGUACGAGCCUCGACGGAGAAACUCGCUCUCUGUGGUCGAGCCUGAUCAUGGACAGGCCUCUGAUUAUACUAAGAGAAGAUACACUGCCGACGGACAAUCUAUGCAGAAACCAGACUUAAGUAAGAUAACUAAAAAAACUACCAAAGAGGAUACCACUCAUGACGACACUGAUGCUCUAUUUGAAAUGGAUGGUCUCGACGAGGCCACUGACAAAGUUGAGGGUUUAGCGCCCAGAACCUUCGCGGCUACCCAGCUCGGCGGCGCAGAGAGCGAAGCGCACCAGGUGAUCCAGAAGAUCAGCGCUCACAACGACUUCAGGCCUAUCGAAGCCGUGCCAUCAAACCAGGACGACGUCAAACCAAACGGCGGUAACGGGAAGAAGAAGAAGAAAACAAGAAAAGCGAGUUCGAAGAAGCAUCAAAGAAAGUCCUCGACAAGUUCAAUUUCGAGUCAGUCGGACCGCGCGGGUUCUGAGCAGCGCGCCACGCAGCCGGCGCCCAUUCCCAACGUGACUGACAUCAACUUCUACAGCGACACCGAGGUGCAUGCUGCCACCCUCAGUGAAGAGAUGUCCAACCUCAAGCUGAACGGCGACAACCGCAUCCCCCUGGCGUUGUCCGACACUGCGUUUGAGGUGCACGCCGCCUCCAGACACGCAGGUUCGCGUAGCGGCACGCCGGUGCAGUCAGACACGGAGGUGGAGCUGGGCGGCAGGCAGGGCGACAAGGCGUCGCAGUCGUGGCGUUGGGGCGAGCUGCCCGAGCCGCCCGUGCGCGCCGACCCCGCGGCCGCGGCCGCCUCGGCCGACUCGCCCGCGUCGCCCGCGUCCCCGGCCGAGCCGCUCAGCUCGGACGAGGAGCGGCCCAGCCGGCGCGGCGUGCUCAGCGGCAUGUUCCGCUUCAUGUCCCCGCGCGACGACGUGCCCGCCGAGGGCGUCUACCUAGACGAUCUGGACCGAGGCCAGGUCGACCCUGAUCUCUAUUUCCCGAAGCACCACGCAGACAGAUAUCGAUCUGGUGAGAUCAUUUGUGCGAGAAGUGGUUCUCACCCGAGCUCUGGCCCCACGGAAGAGGAGUACGAGUCUGGUAACGGGCCCUCGCUGCCACAGUCGCCCGCCUCGCUAGAACCACCUGCACUCGACUCCGAUGAUGAUGAGAAACUUCUUGCCAAGGGCCAGGUGGGCGUGUACGUGCAGGAGGCGGACGGGUCCCGGGAGCUGUCGUUCAUGGAGUUCUGCCUGCGCGCCGGCGCGCUGGCGGCGGAGGGCCGCCUCGUGGUGCGCGUGGGCGACCGCGCCAUGCCCUGGCGCUCCGCCGGCCCGCUGCUGCUGUCGCUGCUGGCGUACCGCCGCCCGCUGCCCUCUCUGGUAUUAGAAUCUCUAGAGAAGAACGAGAAGGACGAGUCUCAGUCGCGUCCGUCGGGUCCGUCGGACAGCACCGCCAAGCCGCGCGGCUACUCCUGGUGGAGCUGGCGGCGGUCCACUGCUGACUCCAAGCGCCCUGAAGCAUCUCCACCCAAAGAUGACAUGACAAAAGAAACUGUAGCCCAAAUUGAAGUGGCCUCAGAGCCUAAGACCGUGACUGUGCGGGAACCUCACGAGGAGAAACAGAAUUCCGUCGAAGAAAAACCUGAGGAAGCGAGGGAAGUAGACAUCGUUGAAGACAUGAAGCCCAUGGAUUUCCUAGAGGACAGCCAACAACUACCACAGAUUGUCGAAAAUCAAGAUCAAGUAGAUCGACACGACCACAGCUCGUCCGACUCAGAUCAAGACGGACAAGUCAAGAGGCCUAAUCGCAGACAUUCAUCCUUCAGAAAAACUCUUCGAUUAUCUUCUGAACAAAUUAAAAAUCUAAAUCUCCGCGAAGGUAUGAAUGAAAUGGUGUUCAGUGUGACCACGGCUUACCAAGGCACCACGCGGUGCAAAUGUAACGUCUUCCGGUGGAGAUAUGACGACAAAAUUGUCAUCUCAGAUAUCGACGGCACUAUCACCAAGUCUGAUGUUUUGGGCCACAUUUUCCCGUUAGUCGGCAAAGAUUGGGCGCAGGCUGGAGUGGCGCAGCUAUUCACUAAGAUCAAGAAUAAUGGAUACCAGUUAUUGUACUUGUCAGCAAGAGCUAUUGGACAAGCCAGAGUGACACGCGAGUACCUUCGCUCAAUCAGACAAGGCGAGCUUUCUUUGCCCGACGGGCCUCUACUACUGAACCCCACGUCGUUACUCCGCGCCUUCCAUCGGGAAGUCAUUGAGAAGAAGCCUGAAGAGUUCAAGAUCCAGUGCCUCGCCGAUAUCAAGGCGCUGUUCCCGCAGGGCUCGAAUCCUUUCUAUGCGGGCUAUGGCAAUAGAGUCAAUGAUGUAUGCGCAUAUCAAGCAGUUGGCAUUCCGAUCGUGAGAAUUUUCACAAUCAAUUACAAGGGAGAACUAAAACACGAACUGACUCAAACAUUCCAAUCCACUUACCACGUGCAAAGUGACAUGGUCGAUGAUUUCUUCCCACCACAGUCAACUGAAAUAAUAGUUAGCUAGCGCGAGGUUUAGGUGUCAAAAUUAUAUAACUUUAGUUAUUGAAAAUUUCGCGAACACACGAUAAUAAGCCGGUACCCCCACAUGUCGGUGCUGGUGGACCAGGUGUUCCCGCCGGCGCAGUGCGAGCCCAGCGACGAGUUCUCGCAGACCGUGUUCUGGAGGGAGCCGCUCCCCGACGUCGAACUGCCCCCCGCAUGCCCACCGCCGCCCAAACAUCAUUAAUCACUUUACUACCCACUUUCUAUACACCUAUAUCUUAUCCAAAAAC